UACGUAGGGUGCGAGCGUUGUCCGGAAUUAUUGGGCGUAAAGGGCUCGUAGGCGGUUUGUCGCGUCGGGAGUGAAAACCAUGAGCUUAACUCAUGGCUUGCUUUCGAUACGGGCAGACUAGAGGCAUGCAGGGGAGAACGGAAUUCCUGGUGUAGCGGUGAAAUGCGCAGAUAUCAGGAGGAACACCGGUGGCGAAGGCGGUUCUCUGGGCAUGUCCUGACGCUGAGGAGCGAAAGUAUGGGGAGCGAACAGG
rnacentral:rRNA from 1 species